CCUGAGAAAUCAUUUGAAUAGAUCUUAAGUCCUGAUUGGUCGGUCACUGUGCAUUCUCUCAUUCUUCUACUCUCUUUCUCUCUCUGACAGCCAUCAUGAACAUGGAUUGCACUGUGGUGGAUCUGGAGAUGCUCCAGGCGCUGUAUGAAAAAGUUUCUGCCGCAGUUGUCAGAGGUUCCUCAGUUCUCGGAGCGGGCAGCCGGAGCCGAGGACAGGCAGAUGGAUUUACCCUUGACAUUCUGUCCAAGUUAAAAGAUGUCAAGAGCAGUGAUGCAGGUAAAGAAAUAUAUGUGUACCCACUUCCAGAGCCUCAGGAGUGUUUCUGGCUUCGCAGGUGAAGUUUGAGCAUUUUCAACGUGAACUCCGCAAGCAACGGAAAGAUCUAAAUGGUGAGAUGUGGACACAUGCAAACACAAAGCAUAGCAUAUACACACAGGCUUUACACACAAUUCCAUGCAUAUACAUGAGAUCAAAUACAUGCAAACACAUGUGGACAUAUACACAUACCGAUAAACAUGAACUCAAAUACAAGUGUGCAUAUACAAAAACAGACAGACAUGUUUAGUUUGUAUACACCAGCGCCAAUGACCCGUGUUCUCCUUUAGAAGGCUCAUUGAUUUUCAAAUGACUGUUUUUAUUGAGCCCCCAGCUGGCUGCCACAAUGAUCAAUACUGCAAAUGUGGUUUGUUAAAGGCUCCAG
ensembl:lncRNA